rnacentral:sRNA from 1 species
GAGGUACUUCAACUGCACCCCGACCCCGA